rnacentral:tRNA from 1 species
UUAGGGAGACCUACCCUUGAUUACUCCGAACCAAUUUGAAUUAGGAGAAUUGAGUGGUCACUCUAGGUCGAACAGGACUUUGAGAUGAGUUUCUAGAUUAUGGUUGAGGUUUAUUUCUUGACUCCAAUUGGCUAUUAGCACCAGUUGAGAGGAGAUUAAGGAAUAAAACCCGGGCUAUUAGCUCAGGUGGUUAGAGCGCACCCCUGAUAAGGGUGAGGUCCCUGGUUCGAGUCCAGGAUGGCCCACUCUGGAAGGCAGAAGUAAGAAGGCAGAAGGUAGAAUAUUCGUUCAUCCUUCUAACUUCAUCCUUCAUCCUUUCGGGAUGUGGGGGUUUAGCUCAGUUGGUAGAGCGCCUGCUUUGCAAGCAGGAUGUCAGCGGUUCGAGUCCGCUAACCUCCACCACGAAAGCGAAGACAGUAAUUCAGCACAUUGUGAGUGGUUCAUCAUUUGAAAUGGUGGACAGAUUCGUAAUCUGCUGGGUGAGAGCCUAGCGAAGAACCUUGAAAACUGAAUACGAGAGAAGUGUAAGGUAGUACACACAGAACAUUGAAAGUUCGUUGAGAGAAGAGUGAAUUUUGUUGGGUUAGUCCAACGAAAUGAAGGUCAAGCUACAACGGGCUCAC